rnacentral:rRNA from 1 species
UACGUAGGGGGCAAGCGUUGUCCGGAUUUAUUGGGCGUAAAGAGCUCGUAGGCGGUUUGUCGCGUCUGCUGUGAAAUCCCGAGGCUCAACCUCGGGCCUGCAGUGGGUACGGGCAGACUGGAGUGCGGUAGGGGAGAAUGGAAUUCCUGGUGUAGCGGUGGAAUGCGCAGAUAUCAGGAGGAACACCGAUGGCGAAGGCAGAUCUCUGGGCCGUAACUGACGCUGAGGAGCGAAAGCAUGGGAGCGAACAGG